rnacentral:rRNA from 1 species
AUAAGUUUAGUAGUGUAGUAAUUGGUAUUGCAUAUCAUUGAUAAAAAAUUUUACUACGGUAAAAAAUAAAAAUAAAAGGUAGAAUUUAUAAUUGUUUUAUUGUUACGUAAUAAAAAUUAUAUAAAUUAGAGUUGAAAUGUCGUCUUUUAUUAUAUUUGUUUAAUAAAGUAAAAUAUUAGAAAAUUAUAUAAUAGUUUAUUGUUAUAUGUAAAAAUAUAAUUUAAAGUGUUUAAAAUGUAAGUUUUAUAACUGUUUAUAAAAAAAAGUUUAAAUAAAUUUUGUGUUUAUUAAAAUUAUAAUAAAUAUAGUGUUAUUAAAUUAGUAGUUUCGUUGUUUAGUGUGUAAGUUGUAAUAAUUUAAUUUAUAAACUAAAUAUUUAAUCAAAUGUUUUUUAAAGACUUAGACUUAAUUUUUAAGUUUGCUUCUGCUCAAUGUGAUAAUAAAUGGCAGUCUUAGCGUGAGGACAUUAAGGUAGCAAAAUAAUUUGUGCUUUUAUUGAGUUCCAGUAUGAAUGAAGUUAUUGGUUAAAUUAUUUAUUUAUUUUAAUUUGAAUUUUUGUUUAUAUAAAAAAAUAUAAAGGUUGUUAAACAAAGAUAAGUCUUUGGAAAUUUUAUUUACGUAUAAUUUUGUGCAUAAAAAUUAUACGUAAAGUUUUCUAGGGUAGAAUAUUAUUUAAUAUAUUGUACUAUUAAUAAUUUUAAAAGUUACUCCAGAGUUAACAGAAAAUCAUAUUUAAUCUAGGUGUUAUAGUAAAAUAAGUUUUACAUCGAUGUUGUAUUUAAGUAAAUUAAAAAAGGAGAAAAUUUAAUAAUUAAGACUGUUCUUCUUUUAUGUAACUUAACGUGAUAUUAGUUUAAUUCAUUGUAAGAUAGAAUUGUUUAUCUUGUUAAUAAUUAAAAUUUAAAAUUGUUAGUACGAAAGGAAAAUUUUAAAAGUUAAAAACUUUAUGUAAAAUAUUA